rnacentral:rRNA from 2 species
GGAUGCGAUCAUACCAGCACUAAAGCACCAGAUCCCAUCAGAACUCUGAAGUUAAGCGUGCUUGGGCGAGAGUAGUACUAGGAUGGGUGACCUCCUGGGAAGUCCUCGUGUUGCAUUCC